rnacentral:rRNA from 1 species
GCACGGGUGAGUAACACGUGGGAACAUACCUCAUAGUACGGAAUAACUGCGGGAAACUGUAGCUAAUACCGUAUAUUCCAGCAAUGGGAAAGAUUUAUCGCUAUGAGAUUGGCCCGCGCAAGAUUAGUUUGUUGGUAAGGUAAUGGCUUACCAAGGCUACGAUCUUUAGCUGGUUUGAGAGGAUGAUCAGCCACACUGGGACUGAGACACGGCCCAGACUCCUACGGGAGGCAGCAGUAGGGAAUAUUGGACAAUGGGGGCAACCCUGAUCCAGCAAUGCAGCGUGAGUGACGAAGGCCUUAGGGUUGUAAAACUCUUUCAUCGGUGAGGAUAAUGACAGUAGCCGAAGAAGAAGGACCGGCUA